AGGGGAGUGGUCUAGUGGUUAUGACGCCAGUCUCACACACUGGAUAUCGAGGGUUCAAUUCCCUCCUUCCCUACCA
rnacentral:tRNA from 1 species